rfam:Ashbya gossypii (= Eremothecium gossypii) ATCC 10895 mitochondrion, complete genome.
CAGAUUGAACCGAGUGGUUUAGGGGCUGUUUUUGGGAAGCAGAAUAUGUUAGUUCGAUUCUAACCAAUCUGA